UUGUCUUUCGGUGUUAUUAAA
rnacentral:piRNA from 1 species